AUUGAACGCUGGCGGAAUGCUUUACACAUGCAAGUCGAACGGCAGCACGGACUUCGGUCUGGUGGCGAGUGGCGAACGGGUGAGUAAUGUAUCGGAACGUGCCCAGUCGUGGGGAUAACGUAGUGAAAAUUACGCUAAUACCGCAUACGAUCUAUGGAUGAAAGCGGGGGAUCGCAAGACCUCGCGCGAUUGGAGCGGCCGAUAUCAGAUUAGGUAGUUGGUGGGGUAAAGGCCCACCAAGCCAACGAUCUGUAGCUGGUCUGAGAGGACGACCAGCCACACUGGAACUGAGACACGGUCCAGACUCCUACGGGAGGCAGCAGUGGGGAAUUUUGGACAAUGGGCGAAAGCCUGAUCCAGCCAUUCCGCGUGCAGGAUGAAGGCCCUCGGGCUGUAAACUGCUUUUGUACAGAACGAAAAGGUUUCUACUAAUACUAGGAGCUCAUGACGGUACUGUAAGAAUAAGCACCGGCUAACUACGUGCCAGCAGCCGCAGUAA
rnacentral:rRNA from 1 species